rnacentral:tRNA from 1 species
GUUAACGUAGCACCCGGUAUUGCAAAAGACCUAAACCCUUUCUAUAGAGAUUCAAAUCCUCUCGUUAAC